rnacentral:lncRNA from 1 species
UCCCCGUGUGUCACCAUCACCCCGUGUCACCCGGGGGGGGGCCCCCCGUGGGCCUCGUGUCACCCCGUGUGUCCCCGUGUCACCAUCACCCCGUGUCACCCCGGGGGGGGCCCCCCGUGUCCGUGUCCCCCCCCCACUGUCCCUCUGUGUCACAUCCCCGUGGCCGUUGUCCCCACGUUGUCCCCGGGGCCACCUCGCUCCACGUCACCCUCCCGCGCCGUGUCCCCGUGUCACGGCCUCGUGUCACAUCCCCGUGUCACGGCCUCGUGUCACGUCCUGGUGCCAUCACGUCCCUGUGUCACGGCCUCGUGUCACAUCCCCGUGUCACAUCUGGGUGCCAUCUUGUCCUCGUGUCACGUCCCAGUGCCAUCUUGUCCCCGUGUCACGUCCUGGUGCCAUCCCCGUGCCAUAUCCCCGUGUCACAUCUUGGUGGCAUCUCUGUCACGUCCUCGUGCCACGUCCUGGUGCCAUCACAUCCCCGUGUCACAUCCUCAUGUCAUCCCCGUGUCACAUCCGAGUGCCAUCUUGUCCCCGUAUCACAUCCCCAUGUCACGUCCUCGUGCCAUCACAUCCCUGUGUCACGUCCUCGUGUCACGUCCUUGUGUCAUGUCCUGGUGCCAUCUUGUCCCUGUGGCACAUCCCCGUGUCACAUCUUGGUGGCAUCUCUGUCACAUCUCCGUGUCACGUCCUGGUGUCACCUCGUCCCCGUGUCACGUCCUCGUGUCACAUUCUGGUGCCAUCUUGUCCCCGUGUCAUGUCCUCGUGUCAUGUCCUGGUGCCAUCACAUCCCCGUGUCAUGUUCUCGUGUCACAUCCCCGUGUCACAUCUUGGUGGCAUCUCUGUCACGUCCUCGUGUCACGUCCUGGUGCCAUCUUGUCCCCGUGUCACGUCCUGGUGCCAUCACAUCCCCGUCUCACGUCCUCGUGCCACAUCCUGGUGCCAUCAUAUCCCCGUGUCACAUCCGGGUGCCAUCCUGUCCUCGUGCCAUGUCCUGGUGCCAUCUUGUCCGCGUGUCACGUCCUCGUGUCACAUCCCCAUGUCACGUCCAGGUGCCAUCUUGUCCUCGUGCCACAUCCUGGUGCCAUCUCCACGUCCCCGUGUCACAUCUGGGUGCCAUCUUGUCCUCGUGCCACGUCCUGGUGCCAUCUCAUCCCCAUGUCACGUCCUCAUGUCGUGUCUUGGUGCCAUCACAUCCCCGUGUCACGUCCUCGUGCCACAUCCCAGUGCCAUCUCAUCCCCAUGUCACAUCCCCGUGUCACGUCCUGGUGCCAUCACGUCCCUGUGUCACAUCCUGGUGUCACCUCGUCCCCGUGUCACGUCCUUGUGUCACAUUCUAGUGCCUUCUUAUCCCUGUGUCACGUCCCCAUGUC